AUUGUAUCCACGAUUGGGGAAUUUUCCGCAAUGGGCGAAUAGCCUGACGGAGCAAUACCGCGUGAGGGAAGAAGGCUCUUGGGUCGUAAACCUCUUUUGUCAGGGAAGAAGAAAGUGACGGUACCUGACGAAUCAGCCUCGGCUAACUCCGUGCCAGCAGCCGCGGUAAUACGGAGGAGGCAAGCGUUAUCCGGAAUUAUUGGGCGUAAAGCGUCCGCAGGUGGCUAGUCAAGUCGGCGGUCAAAGACUGGGGCUCAACUCCAGAAAAGCCGUGGAAACUGACAAGCUAGAGGGCGGUAGGGGUAGAGGGAAUUCCCGGUGUAGCGGUGAAAUGCGUAGAGAUCGGGAAGAACAUCGGUGGCGAAAGCGCUCUACUGGACCGCAACUGACACUAAUGGACGAAAGCUAGGGGAGCGAAUGGGAUUAGAUACCCCAGUAGUCAAUCGUGGAUACAAU
rnacentral:rRNA from 1 species